GUGACGUCAUUUAUGACCGGCCACCCAAGGCACAGUGCAAGUUGAUUGCCUUGUCCGCAGAAACACCGACUUCGUGUUCUCAAUAAAGUUAUUCUCUUCCUCACACCCUCCUCUCCCGCCUACGCCGUGGUGUCAAUAAAGUUGUUGUCGGCUUCGCGAGGACCCCCACCGCGUGCGCGCAGGUGGCCGCGGCGCUGCCUGCGCGCGGCCACGUUGAGCGGCGCCGAUCGCUGUGCCACUAACUACCGCGGUGAUCAUUUAUUGACCCCGUCCAUCCUUCCUCCCGGUGGUUAAUCAAUGAUUAACAGCGCCGCGUAUGGACGUUAGGUUACAUAACGCGGCGCUGGUUUCCCGUCAAAAGUGCUCAAAGGCGGCGGGGGGCGGGGCGGGGGGGUUGUUUUUUUGUUUUUGCCGACUCGACGUUCGUGCUGUUUGUUGCUGGCCGGCUGGGGAGUCGUCGGCGGUGACGCGACACGACUGCACCGGCUCGUCACGCGCCACGGUGCGUGACGUCAUUUAUGGACGUCACCUCGGCCGGGUCGGGGCUCGUGUGAAUCGACGCCGGUGACCUGCAGGAUGUUCUCGGCAAGGACCCUCUCCCUGGGACGCGCCCGCGGGAGCAUGGAGACGCGCUGGGACGGCGGGAAGGGUGGCGCAGAGGCGGCGUCCCCUGGGUGCGAGGGGUCGCAGCGCCGCACGGGAGGGGAAGGAGGAGGCGGCG